UACGAAGGGGGCUAGCGUUGCUCGGAAUCACUGGGCGUAAGGCGCACGUAGGCGGAUUGCUAAGUCAGGGGUGAAAUCCUGGAGCUCAACUCCAGAACUGCCUUUGAUACUGGCGAUCUCGAGUCCGGGAGAGGUGAGUGGAACUGCGAGUGUAGAGGUGAAAUUCGUAGAUAUUCGCAAGAACACCAGUGGCGAAGGCGGCUCACUGGCCCGGUACUGACGCUGAGGUGCGAAAAGCGUGGGGGAGCAAACAGG
rnacentral:rRNA from 1 species